GAUAAACGCUAGCGGCAGGCUUAACACAUGCAAGUCGAGCGGUAACAGAGAGAAGCUUGCUUCUCUGCUGACGAGCGGCGGACGGGUGAGUAAUGCCUAGGAAUCUGCCUAGUAGUGGGGGAUAACUUGCCGAAAGGUAAGCUAAUACCGCAUACGUCCUACGGGAGAAAGGAGGGGACCUUCGGGCCUUUCGCUAUUAGAUGAGCCUAGGUCGGAUUAGUUAGUUGGUGAGGUAAUGGCUCACCAAGACCGCGAUCCGUAACUGGUCUGAGAGGAUGAUCAGUCACACUGGAAAUGAGACACGGUCCAGACUCCUACGGGAGGCAGCAGUGGGGAAUAUUGGACAAUGGGGGGAACCCUGAUCCAGCCAUGCAGCGUGUGUGAAGAAGGUCUUAGGAUUGUAAAGCACUUUAAGUUGGGAGGAAGAGCAGUUAACUAAUAUUUGACUGUUUUGACGUUACCGACAGAAUAAGCACCGGCUAACUUCGUGCCAGCCGCCGCGGUAA
rnacentral:rRNA from 1 species